CACUUGAUGAUUACCUGCUCUGUUCAUUCCCUCUGAGGCACCUGGCACUGGCCACUGUCAGAAGACAGGAUAUUGGACUAGAUGGACCUUUGGUAUGACCCAGUAGGGCCAUUCUUAUGAUGUAAAUGCCUUGUUAUGUCAACACAGUCAAAGCACCUCCCCAAAUGGUGUGGAACCAUGGUUGUCCUACUGAGGUCAAUGCAGUGCGAGUGUAGACACUGCAUGACCUGUGUCAACUCUAACAGACUUUCAGCAUCUGUCCCACAAUGUCCCAUUCUCUGCAACAGUGACCACUCUGGUUACAAUUUUAAACUCCACUGCCUAGGGGUCACAGAUACCAGAAGCCACCCCCACCUUUCAACAUCCUCCCUCCCCCUCACAUGUUGAGAUGCCUUUUCCUGAGUGCAGAUGUUGGUAAACGCAUCUAGCAGCUCUCCCUUCUUGUGUGCAACUGCCCAGCCAACUGUGCUGGCCCCACACAGACAGAGAGGUAUUAGAUGUGCUCCAGGCUGGAGUAGACAGGUGCUUUGGAUCUCCUGGGCCUGUGGGGAGAAGAGAUUGUGCCGCAUGAAAGUGAAGGAACUUCACAGGAUGCCACAAGGUCAGAGAGCGCCACAAUAGAUCUGGUGCUGCGCCUCAGACCUGCUGCUUUUACAAGUUACUGCAUGGCAUACUUGGCGGAGACCCCACCAGCACCCUGCAGACCACUGUGGAUACCUCCGAGGAACCCAAGACCGAGACAUGUACAGCGAGGAGGAAGGAGUGUGGGGGAGACACAGCAGGGGAUUCCAGUCAUGCAGCAAGCCAGGACCUGUGUGAGACUCUGACCCAGUUUAGCCAGUGCCACCAGCACCUUCUAGGGUGGCCGCUUUGGGGAGUUCCCCCUCCAUACCUGCAGAACGCCUGAUCCUGAGGAGGAGGAGAAAGAAGAGGACUGAGGAAGACGUAUUCUACAAGAUCCUGUCAGCCAGUGCUGCAUCGGACCAUGAACAAAGGGCUCGGAGAGCCUGUACGACCAACAGCAUGGAGAAAGACCGAGAGGACAGGGAAAAAGGCCCAGGAGUCCAAGCAGGAUAAGGAGUGGGAAAUGCGUUAGGACAUAAUUGGUCUUCUCAGACAGCAGAUUCAAAUGCUGCUGGUUGUCCUGCAGGUCCCAAAAUCUUGGAUUCUCCAUCCUUUGCACUAUUUGGAGAACUUCAUGGUCACUGUUCCAACACCCCACAACAUACCUCAUGGGGCGGAUCGUUGCCUCUAUCAUUCCACGCGGGGAAGGAGGGAGGGUGGGGUAGCAAAGAAAAUCAUAGCUUCACAUACACUGACCUAUGAGGACCACGACUGGUAUGUGUGUUUCCACAAUGGACUACAUUUGUGCAUUCAAACAGACAUAAAAUUAGAAAGGAAGUAAACAUUUGUUUUCACCUCGUUAUGUUACACGUUUGUAUUGCAUUGCUUGUGGGGGUUUUUGUACAUUGACUUUUUUGUACGGUUUUUCCCACUUAAUAAAUGUUUUUGGAGAAUCAAAUGAUCUUUAUUAGUUCACAACAAAUAUUGCAGAAUGCAUAGCGGUAUUCAAAGCAAACAGUCCUUGUAAAUGUACAGCAAGCACCAUAGUAUUCAAGUAUUCAUAGCUCCAGGAAAACACCCAGUCAUAUUUAUGAAUAUAUAGCAAGCACUACACAAUUCUGAGCAGCACCUGAAGUUCCAGGCCCAGAGAACACUACAUCACAGAACACUACUGUGGCUGACUGCUAAAGGGCUCUUUCAAAGCCUCCUUCACUCCAUAGCGCCAUGUUGAGCUCUUGUAAUAGCCCUUGAAUCUGGCUGUUCAAACUCAGCAGUCAGCUGCUUCAUGUCCGUCCUCCACCCUAGCAGCAGCUUAUUCCCCUUUGUCUCACAUGCUGGAAACUUGACUCCCUAGCUCCCAGAGAUCCCUGAGUGAGUCAUUUCUAUCCCACAACAUAUUGUGAAAAUUUCCCAAAAGGCAUUGCACUGGAUGGCAGUGUGUGUCACACUGAAAUACCUACCCAUAGUGCACCACACUUUACAUCAACACACUCACUUCUGGUGAGUACGCGCAGCAGCAACACAAGCAGCAAAGUGUGCACCUGUGCCAGCGAUAUACAAACUUCAGUGGCUGUACAUCAAGGUAACUUUCAUCAACCACAGUUUGUAGUGUAGACAUGGCCUUGUUCUGAAGUGCUGCCAGGAUGUUUUUCCUCAAGUUCAUUUUAGGUUUUCCUUAUUUGCACCCUUUUAUCCUAACUGCACCUCACUAAAUACG